rnacentral:rRNA from 1 species
ACGCUCGACACCUACGGGAGCAGCAGUGAGGAAUAUUGGUCAAUGGGCGCUAGCCUGAACCAGCCAAGUAGCGUGAAGGAUGAAGGCUCUAUGGGUCGUAAACUUCUUUUAUAUAAGAAUAAAGUGCAGUAUGUAUACUGUUUUGUAUGUAUUAUAUGAAUAAGGAUCGGCUAACUCCGUGCCCGCAGCCGCGGUAAUCUGAGCGGGCUGGCAAGGC